CCUACGGGAGGCAGCAGUGGGGAAUAUUGGACAAUGGGGGGAACCCUGAUCCAGCCAUGCCGCGUGUGUGAAGAAGGCCCUCGGGUUGUAAAGCACUUUCAGUGAGGAAGAACGCCUGGUGGUUAAUACCCAUCAGGAAAGACAUCACUCACAGAAGAAGCACCGGCUAACUCCGUGCCAGCAGCCGCGGGAAUACGGAGGGUGCGAGCGUUAAUCGGAAUUACUGGGCGUAAAGCGCGCGUAGGUGGCUUGAUAAGCCGGUUGUGAAAGCCCCGGGCUCAACCUGGGAACGGCAUCCGGAACUGUCAAGCUAGAGUGCAGGAGAGGAAGGUAGAAUUCCCGGUGUAGCGGUGAAAUGCGUAGAGAUCGGGAGGAAUACCAGUGGCGAAGGCGGCCUUCUGGACUGACACUGACACUGAGGUGCGAAAGCGUGGGUAGCAAACAGGAUUAGAUACCCGUGUAGUC
rnacentral:rRNA from 1 species